rnacentral:rRNA from 1 species
GAUGAACGCUGACAGAAUGCUUAACACAUGCAAGUCUACUUGAAGCUAACUUCGGUUAGUGGAGGGUGGCGGACGGGUGAGUAACGCGUAAAGAACUUGCCUCACAGUUUGGGACAACAUUUGGAAACGAAUGCUAAUACCGGAUAUUAUGAUACUUCUGCAUGGAAGAAUCAUGAAAGCUAUAUGCGCUGUGAGAGAGCUUUGCGUCCCAUUAGCUAGUUGGAGAGGUAACGGCUCACCAAGGCGAUGAUGGGUAGCCGGCCUGAGAGGGUGAACGGCCACAAGGGGACUGAGACACGGCCCUUACUCCUACGGGAGGCAGCAGUGGGGAAUAUUGGACAAUGGACCAAAAGUCUGAUCCAGCAAUUCUGUGUGCACGAUGAAGUUUUUCGGAAUGUAAAGUGCUUUCAGUUGGGAAGAAGCAAGUGACGGUACCAACAGAAGAAGCGACGGCUAAAUACGUGCCAGCAGCCGCGGUAAUACGUAUGUCGCAAGCGUUAUCCGGAUUUAUUGGGCGUAAAGCGCGUCUAGGUGGUUAUAUAAGUCUGAUGUGAAAGUGCGGGGCUCAACUCCGUAUUGCGUUGGAAACUGUAUGACUAGAGUACUGGAGAGGUAAGCGGAACUACAAGUGUAGAGGUGAAAUUCGUAGAUAUUUGUAGGAAUGCCGAUGGGGAAGCCAGCUUACUGGACAGAUACUGACGCUAAAGCGCGAAAGCGUGGGUAGCAAACAGG